GCACUGCUGUACAGCUUCCUUUCCACAGUGAACCUGGGAGGGGGAUGAAGAUAACCUUGAUGGUGGAGUCGAAUAACACUCUUGAUAGUAAAAUUAAAAAUUAGCCUUUCAUGCAACAAACAUGAAGACCUUGGGAAAAUUUCAGCCUAGUGGCUUGGACCUUGCAGUUAUUGACUUUGGCAGGAAAUUCUUCAAAAGCAACUAUCAGUGUCUUGAUUUUGGCAUAGGGACUGCUUAGUGCUGGCUACGAGGCUUAGAUCUGAAACAUUGCCAAGUGUGAAUCUAGUGCUGCUUGUCUCUUCAAAUGCUGACCACCAGCUGUUCUGCUUCCUCGCCGGCCAUUUCACCACGUCUUUCCCACGGCUUGUGGGACAGAAGUCAAAUGCUGCUUGCCACAGCAGGCAGAAGGGGCUGGCGUUGGAGAAGCUGCGGUGGGUGGAAAGUGGCUGCAUAACUGCAUUGGUGCCAUGGAGCUUUCAAAAGACACCUUCAGGUUGAGGCAAAAUGGUACCACUAAGAGCUUGGGACCAUAAUAAAUAACAAGGUGAAAGAUGAAAAAAAAACUUUUUUUAAUAAUUCCAGUGGCACCUUUAAGAUCAACUAAAUAUAAGCUUUCAAGGUAUGAGCUUUCGUGUGUAUACACACUUUGUCAGAUACUCUGAAGCAGAGGUCGCUUCAGCCUUAUAACUGUUGAUGACUGUUAUGGCAGUUGGUUCCACAGGGAAGGGCAAGGCAUUUUUAAAGGGAUAGAUGACCAGAAUUAGCUUUAGCAUGUAUAAUGGGACAUGAACCCAAUAUCUCUAUUCAGACCAGGUUUAUGGAUGCAAAGAAAUUGCAAUGGAAGAUAAUCUUUUUUUUCCUUGCUAGACUGAAAACAGGGAACAGGGAAAGACAAAGCUGAGGGAUUCAAGGGCAUACUGAACUUGUGCAGUUAAAGGGGAUUAAAGUGCCGUGUCGCCCUAGCACAGGGGUAGUCAAUGUGGUGCCCUUCAGAUGCCCUUGGACUACACUUCCCAUCAUCCCUGACUGGCAGUUGGAGUCCAAAGCCACAUUGGAUGCCCCUGCCCUGGCACAACAAAUCCACUUUAAAAAGAAACAGACUCUUCGCUGUUUGGAAAGUGUGGGGACAAUUGACCAUCCAGAGGCUGCAUAAACACCAUGCAAGCAAUUCAAGAUGAAUGCAGGACAAAUGCCUGUUAUAACCACCUCACAAACAAAUCAGAAUGAAAACUCAAUAAAGAACGGAUAUAACCUAACCUCUGCAGAAGCUGUAUUCAGGUAAAUCAGGGCAGUUGCUCUAUAAAGAGGAUGUCUGGAGAGGCCCUGCUUGUGGUGCCACUACUG